CAACUUUCAACAACGGAUCUCUUGGCUCUCGCAUCGAUGAAGAACGCAGCGAAAUGCGAUAAGUAAUGUGAAUUGCAGAAUUCAGUGAAUCAUCGAAUCUUUGAACGCACCUUGCGCCCCUUGGUACUCUGGGGGGCAUGCCUGUUUGAGUGUCAUC
rnacentral:rRNA from 1 species